AACGAACGCUGGCGGCAUGCCUAACACAUGCAAGUCGAACGAAGCCUUCGGGCUUAGUGGCGCACGGGUGCGUAACGCGUGGGAAUCUGCCCUUGGGUUCGGAAUAACAGUUAGAAAUGACUGCUAUACCGGAUGAUGUCUUCGGACCAAAGAUUUAUCGCCCAAGGAUGAGCCCGCGUAGGAUUAGGUAGUUGGUGGGGUAAUGGCCCACCAAGCCGACGAUCCUUAGCUGGUCNGAGAGGAUGAUCAGCCACACUGGGACUGAGACACGGCCCAGACUCCUACGGGAGGCAGCAGUGGGGAAUAUUGGACAAUGGGCGAAAGCCUGAUCCAGCAAUGCCGCGUGAGUGAUGAAGGCCUUAGGGUUGUAAAGCUCUUUUACCAGGGAUGAUAAUGACAGUACCUGGAGAAUAAGCUCCGGCUAACUCCGUGCCAGCAGCCGC
rnacentral:rRNA from 1 species